rnacentral:rRNA from 1 species
UACAGAGGGUGCGAGCGUUAAUCGGAAUUACUGGGCGUAAAGCGUGCGUAGACGGUUAUUUAAGUCGGGUGUGAAAGCCCCGGGCUCAACCUGGGAAUUGCAUUCGAGACUGAAUAGCUAGGGUACGGUAGAGGGAAGUGGAAUUUCCGGUGUAGCGGUGAAAUGCGUAGAUAUCGUAAGGAAGGCCGGUGGCGAAAGCGAGCCUCUGGACAGUUACUGACGCUGAUGCACGAAGGCCAGGGGAGCAAACGGG